CAGUCGCCGCGGUAAUACGUAGGUGGCAAGCGUUGUCCGGAAUUAUUGGGCGUAAAGGGCUCGCAGGCGGUUUCUUAAGACUGAUGUGAAAGCCCCCGGCUCAACCGGGGAGGGUCAUUGGAAACUGGGAAACUUGAGUGCAGAGGAGGAGAGUGGAAUUCCACGUGUAGCGGUGAAAUGCGUAGAGAUGUGGAGGAACACCAGUGACGAAGGCGACUCUCUGGUCUGUAACUGACGCUGAGGAGCGAAAGCGUGGGGAGCGAACAGGAUUAGAUACCCGGGUAGUCCCUGUCUCUUAUAC
rnacentral:rRNA from 1 species